rnacentral:rRNA from 1 species
AUUGAACGCUGGCGGCAGGCCUAACACAUGCAAGUCGAGCGGGGUUUUCGGACCUAGCGGCGGACGGGUGAGUAAUGCGUAGGAAGCUACCCGAUAGAGGGGGAUACCAGUUGGAAACGACUGUUAAUACCGCAUAAUGUCUACGGACCAAAGUGUGGGACCUUCGGGCCACAUGCUAUCGGAUGCGCCUGCGUGGGAUUAGCUAGUUGGUGAGGUAAUGGCUCACCAAGGCGACGAUCCCUAGCUGGUUUGAGAGGAUGAUCAGCCACACUGGAACUGAGACACGGUCCAGACUCCUACGGGAGGCAGCAGUGGGGAAUAUUGGACAAUGGGCGCAAGCCUGAUCCAGCCAUGCCGCGUGUGUGAAGAAAGCCUUCGGGUUGUAAAGCACUUUCAGUAGGGAGGAAGGGUUAAGUGUUAAUAGUACUUAACUUUGACGUUACCUACAGAAGAAGCACCGGCUAACUCUGUGCCAGCCGCCGCCGUAAAAC